UAGGGAAUCUUCCACAAUGGACGCAAGUCUGAUGGAGCAACGCCGCGUGAGUGAAGAAGGUUUUCGGAUCGUAAAGCUCUGUUGUUGGUGAAGAAGGAUAGAGGCAGUAACUGGUCUUUAUUUGACGGUAAUCAACCAGAAAGUCACGGCUAACUACGUGCCAGCAGCCGCGGUAAUACGUAGGUGGCAAGCGUUGUCCGGAUUUAUUGGGCGUAAAGCGAGCGCAGGCGGAAUGAUAAGUCUGAUGUGAAAGCCCACGGCUCAACCGUGGAACUGCAUCGGAAACUGUCAUUCUUGAGUGCAGAAGAGGAGAGUGGAAUUCCAUGUGUAGCGGUGGAAUGCGUAGAUAUAUGGAAGAACACCAGUGGCGAAGGCGGCUCUCUGGUCUGCAACUGACGCUGAGGCUCGAAAGCAUGGGUAGCAAACAGG
rnacentral:rRNA from 1 species